CUACGGGCGGCAGCAGUGGGGAAUAUUGCACAAUGGGCGCAAGCCUGAUGCAGCCAUGCCGCGUGUAUGAAGAAGGCCUUCGGGUUGUAAAGUACUUUCAGCGGGGAGGAAGGGAGUAAAGUUAAUACCUUUGCUCAUUGACGUUACCCGCAGAAGAAGCACCGGCGAACUCCGUGCCAGCAGCCGCGGUAAUACGGAGGGUGCAAGCGUUAAUCGGAAUUACUGGGCGUAAAGCGCACGCAGGCGGUUUGUUAAGUCAGAUGUGAAAUCCCCGGGCUCAACCUGGGAACUGCAUCUGAUACUGGCAAGCUUGAGUGUCGUAGAGGGGGGUAGAAUUCCAGGUGUAGCGGUGAAAUGCGUAGAGAUCUGGAGGAAUACCGGUGGCGAAGGCGGCCCCCUGGACGAAGACUGACGCUCAGGUGCGAAAGCGUGGGGAGCAAACAGGAUUAGAUACCCUAGUAGUC
rnacentral:rRNA from 1 species